rnacentral:lncRNA from 1 species
CCUCACAAGAUCCAGACCCCACAAGAUCCAGACCUCGGCUAUCUGGCUUCUCUUUUUUUUGCGACAGAGUCUCAAUCUGUCCCCCAGGCUGGAGCGCAGUGGUGUGAUCUCAGCUCACUGCAACCUCUGCCUCCCAGGUUCAAGCAAUUCUCUUGCCUCAGCCUCCCGAGUAGCUGGGAUCACAGGUGUGCGCCAUGCCUGGCUAAUUUUUUUUUUUUUUUUUUUUGUAUUUUUAGUAGAGAUGGGGUUUCGCUAUGUUGGCCAAGCUGGUCUCAAACCCCUGACCUCAGGUGAUCCACCUGCCUCGACCUCUCAGAGUGCUGGGAUUACAGGCGUGAGCCACUGCACCCAGCCCCAUCUGACUUCUAUACCCGCAGCCCCUUCCUUUACCCUCAGGCUGCCUCAGUCUCCACACUGGGGCCCAGAGCUGGGCUGGACUCAGCGCAGUCAGAACCUCGCCUUGCACGUGGCGAAGGAGCGGCAGGCAGGCAGGCGAGCAGGACAGCCAGCUUCCUCCUAGUCCGCAGUUUCGGGGAGCAGCCUGGAAAGGGAGGCCCAGGCUUCCCUGUCUCGUCGCACGUGUGUCUGCAGUGUCUGCGCUAUCUCCCAGGGGCCUGGAUGUCGAUGGAAGGCCUGAGGGUGGAGAGAGCGGGGGCGCGAAGCAUUCCCAGGCCUGUGGCUGAGGCCCACCCUGGCGGCCUCAGCAUCUGUGGAGAUGUGUAGAGGCAGGGAGAGUGAAUGGGGACCAACCUCAGGAGAUGCUGGGUCCCAGAAGCACCAUGUGCUUCUCCUUUGGUGAGACUUAAUUACUCUCUAAAAUGUAAGGCUACUCCCACUUAUCAAAUUAUAGAUGAGUUUAAUUACAGCGCACUGAGUAACCACACUGGGCUCCUUCAGAAAUAGCAGCAGGCUGGUUGCUCUUCUCGGCUUCAGCUGUAGCCACCCCAGUUUCAGGAGGAAGUGCCCGUGGUUCCUGGGGCCUGGAAGUGCCGCUCAACUCUGCUGCCAGACAACAAGUGCGGGCGUGGUGGACUGCACUGGGUACACUGCUGUACCGGCCACCACCCUCCGGCCACUCUCAGCCGGUGAGUGCUCUGCGGGGCCGUCUGGCCACGUGUUCUGUGACUGGGUCAUUUACUCUGCUGCAACCUCUCUUUCUCCUACCUACAUCGUGUUCUGGACAAAGGUUUUGGCUCAUAAUGUCCAACCAGAGGUGGACAAAGUGGUGUGAGACCUGCCGUAAGAAACAGGGAGCAUGGCGCGGGGAGAGAAGCCUGUGCCUUAUGGAGACUCGGGGCACCUUCAGGAAGCAGGGUCAACGGCAGCAGGCCACUAGGGAGUGGGGAGAGCUCGGUGACGUCACGAGGGGCAUCAGACUCUUCCCUGCAGGCUGGCGGGACUGAUGGGCUCUCGUUCCGAUGGAGGUACACUGGGACUUCCGGGGCUGUGAUGGGAAGGGCGGAGGAGCUGCCGAUGGUCCCAGUGCCAUAUUAGUGUCAUUCUGAGGGGCAGCCCUGUGCCGGACGGCAGCUGCUACCUCUCCCUCUGCCCCUUUAUUACUUGAAUCUCUUCAUUGUGCCAGGCCCUGUCUAGGCACGGUCGUCUGACAGCAGGCAGCCCACUGCCCUCCCAGAGCUCACUGUCUAGCCCAGGGUGACACAGGGUAACCGUGGGCAUGACUUGGGCCGGGAAGUGAGAGGCUCGAUUCCAUCACAUGUAAAUAAAAAUACUCAUUUUCAAUCUAA